UACGAAGGGGGCUAGCGUUGUUCGGAUUUACUGGGCGUAAAGCGCACGUAGGCGGAUCGAUCAGUCAGGGGUGAAAUCCCAGAGCUCAACUCUGGAACUGCCUUUGAUACUGUCGAUCUGGAGUAUGGAAGAGGUGAGUGGAAUUCCGAGUGUAGAGGUGAAAUUCGUAGAUAUUCGGAGGAACACCAGUGGCGAAGGCGGCUUACUGGUCCAUAACUGACGCUGAGGUGCGAAAGCGUGGGGAGCAAACAGG
rnacentral:rRNA from 1 species